GAAGGGUUUGAGUACAAGGACUCACGCUGGCACUCACGGUGUGAGUGUCAGCGUGAGUUCAGUGAUUAGAAUCUGAUCAGCACACUCAGCGUGAGUCUC